rnacentral:rRNA from 1 species
UACGUAGGUGGCAAGCGUUGUCCGGAUUUACUGGGCGUAAAGCGUAUGCAGGCGGACUGUUAAGUCCAAGGUGAAAGGUGGGAGCUCAACUCCUACACUGCCUCGGAUACUGGCAGUCUUGAGUGGCGGAGAGGAAGAUGGAACAAGUUGUGUAGCGGUGAAAUGCGUUGAUAUAACUUGGAACACCAAUGGCGAAAGCAAUCUUCUGGACGCAAACUGACGCUGAGAUACGAAAGCUAAGGUAGCAAACAGG